rnacentral:lncRNA from 1 species
AAUAACAACGAUAAAGUAUAAGAAAUCGAAAAGAGAGCAAAGUAAAUCUUAUUCCGAAUUUGCAUUUGAGCGUUACAACAAAGUAAGAGCCUGGGCUACGAGAGUUGUCGGCGAGAUUCCUAGUUCUAAAACCCUAAGACGGCAAUAACAUAGUUGAGUCGCAGCUAGAAUAACAAAAACGGAAAUAUGCCUAAUUGCUCUAAGUGCUAAGUUUGCUCAGAAAAAGUCCUCCCAUGACUCUGGCCUAGGACUCCUUAUAUACUGGCUCCUAGGUCGGUUUACGCUUUUCCUCUUCUGCCCUUAAGCCUUCAUAGCAUAAAAAUAGAGAUAUUCCAAUUUUCCGAUCUUCGUAAUUAUCUUCAAAAUUUCGUAUUUAUCCGCGGAA